AGUUUGAUCCUGGCUCAGGAUGAACGCUAGCGGCAGGCCUAAUACAUGCAAGUCGAACGGUGAUAGUGAUAUCAUAGUGGCGCACGGGUGCGUAACACGUAUGGAACCUACCUUAUAGACGGGGAUAGCCUUUGGAAACGGAGAUUAAUACCCGAUGGUAAUAUGAGAUGGCAUCAUUUUAUAUUUAAAGAUUUAUCGCUAUAAGUUGGUCAUGCGUCCAAUUAGUUAGUUGGUGAGGUAACGGCUCACCAAGACGAUGAUUGGUAGGGGAACUGAGAGGUUAAUCCCCCACACUGGCACUGAGAUACGGGCCAGACUCCUACGGGAGGCAGCAGUAGGGAAUAUUGGGCAAUGGAGGCAACUCUGACCCAGCCAUGCCGCGUGCAGGAUGAAGGCGUUAUGCGUUGUAAACUGCUUUUAUAUAGGAAGAAAUAGACCUUGCGAGGUAAGUUGACGGUACUAUAUGAAUAAGCACCGGCUAACUCCGUGCCAGCAGCCGCGGUAAUACGGAGGGUGCAAGCGUUGUCCGGAUUUAUUGGGUUUAAAGGGUGCGUAGGCGGUUUAUUAAGUCAGUGGUGAAAGACGGUCGCUCAACGAUUGCAGUGCCAUUGAUACUGGUAGACUUGAGUGAGAUUGAGGUAGCUGGAAUGGAUAGUGUAGCGGUGAAAUGCAUAGAUAUUAUCCAGAACACCAAUUGCGUAGGCAAGUUACUAAGUCUCAACUGACGCUGAGGCACGAAAGUGUGGGUAUCAAACAGGAUUAGAUACCCUGGUAGA
rnacentral:rRNA from 1 species